CCAUCUUCUCCUUUCGCAACUGAGGCACACCGGAAAUGACGAGCAGCGGCCGCAGCGGCGGGCGGGGUCUGCCAGUAACUAGGAUCGAGGCUCUACUCCAUAGAAGAUGGCCCAAGACAACUCAGGCCGCGCUCGCACACAUAGUCCUGUCUUUGUAAACCGAUCGCUGUGUGUGGCUUCAGCUCCAUGGCCCCUCCACGGAAAGAGCAGCGACGCUGAAAGCAGACGGGAGUGCGGAGCUCUACCCAGGACGGACCGGGAACAGCUGCUGUGAGCUGUGCGGAGAAACUUCCUGCUCUCAACCCCGCC